rnacentral:lncRNA from 1 species
UGGCAGAGUUUUGAUUAUCCAGGAGAUGUGCUUCUGCCAGGUAUGAAAUUAGGGGUUAACCGUAGUACUGGCCACAAUUGGUCACUCUCAUGCUGGUUAACUGAGAAAAGUGCAGUGCCAGGACCUUUCACUCUUGAUUGGGACCCUGAUGGAAAAGAAUUGCAAAUUAGGAGACGAGGGGUAGUUUAUUGGAGCAGUGGAGUCUUCAGAGAUGGGAGUUUGGAAAAUAUUAAGCAGAAGAGGUAUAAGUUCAGCAUUGUUUCAAAUGAGAAUGAAGACUAUUUCAGUUACUCUGCUGUUGAUCGAAAUGCUAGACCAGAAUGGCUGCUAACCACAAUAGGGAGACUAUAUGACUUUGAUGGAUCAAUGGAUAUUGCAAAAGCGGAUUCAUGUUAUGGAUAUAGCACUGAUGGAGGAUGCCAGAUUUGGGACCAGCCAACUGAGUGUAGGCGUUUUGGGGAUGUUUUUGAGCAAGAAAAUGGGUACUUCAAUCCGACUGGUUCCAGUGGUGCAAGUGUAACAUCUACCAGUGAUUCAAACACAAGUCUCAGUAUUAGUGAUUGUAAGGCUGCUUGUUGGGCAGAUUGUAACUGUCGUGGAUUCAUCUUUCUGAAUGCUAAUCAGACUGGAUGUCGGUAUUGGACUGGGAACUUGAAGUUCAUAGCAGACAGUGCAGGUUACAGUUCAAGUGUUGUUUACUUUUUAACAAAAAAAUCAGCCAGCAGCCGCUGUAAGUAUAUCAAUCUUUAAAGCUAGUAUUGUUCCACUAAUUUCUGUUUCCUAUGACUUCACAUAAUUCCACAUCAAGAACAAAUAAUAAGCUUUUGGGCAUAGAAAGUAAACAAUAGUCGCUUACACAACAAGCAAUGAAUUUUAGUCGUAAAUAGAAUAGAAAGUAGAAUGUAAGUUAAUGUUGAGUAAAAUUGCAUGAUUCACACAUUUAUUGCUAUAUAACUUGUUAUACUAUCUAGAUUAGAGGUUUCAGCAACCAGGCAUGGUUCUUUUCCAGAACCGUAUAUUGUAAGUUUGUAACUCCAUAUAAGUCUAAUUGUUAGCCUAUGCAGCACGUAAGUGGAUAUGGACUGGUGCUGCUAUUGUCACUGCUCUAUUGGUAAUGGUGCUUUGCAUAUUAUGCUGUCUAUUACGAAGAAAACUUAUCUUGUCAGGUAAUCUUUCCACAUAAAGAAUUAAUCUGUAGACACAAUUUCACAGAAUUGAAAAACGAAUAUAUUCUAAUUUGUAUAUUACUCUUAGUAGGGGAGAACAAGAGAAAGAUUGAUGAGCAAAAACUACUUCGCUUAAGGGGAUCUGAUAUAUCAACUGAUGUCCACGGGAUUCAGCAUGAUGGAUCCAUGGGACAUGAUUUAAGAGCAUUUAGCUAUGAAUCUGUCAUGGCUGCCACGGACAACUUCUCCUUACAGAACAAGCUAGGAGAGGGGGGAUUUGGACCUGUUUAUAAGGUAAACUUGAGGUAAUGAGAACUUUAGGAGUUAAUUAUAAAUUGGCUACUAAAUGAAACUGAUCAUAUGGCCUAUUAUGGAUUCAAUUCAGGGAAAAAUGCCGACUGGUCAAGUUAUAGCUGUAAAGACACUUUCAAGUUGUUCAGGGCAAGGGGAAGUAGAGUUUAAGAAUGAAUUGAUACUCAUAUCUGAACUCCAACAUACUAAUCUAGUUCAGCUUUUCGGAUUUUGCAUCCAUGGUAAAGAGAGGAUGCUGAUAUACGAGUAUAUGCCAAACAAGGGUCUGGACUGCAUUUUAUUUGGUAAUUAGACAAUCACUUAAUUGUACAUCUGAGUUUUAGUUAUGAAUAACCUUUUCUUACUGAACUGAGUCUCUGUAUGUAUGGCCAGAUUCAACAAGAUGCAUGCUACUAGAUUGGAAGAAGCGCUUCAAUAUAAUUGAAGGAAUCGCCCAAGGAUUGCUUUAUCUGCACAAGUACUCAAGAUUGAAAGUAAUUCAUAGAGAUCUUAAAGCAAGUAACAUACUACUUGAUGAAAAUAUGAACCCCAAAAUAUCUGAUUUUGGUACGGCAAGGAGUUUCAUGCUCAAUGAAGUUGAAGCAAAUACUGGGCGGAUUGUUGGGACACAGUAAGUCCUAUACUAUAUAAGAAGAAUCUUCCUAUUGUAUCUGUUACUUCUGGUUGCUAUUCAUGCGUUCAUGUAAUGUGUACUAAAGAUAUGUUCUCUUUCAUUUGGACAGUGGUUACAUGUCUCCCGAGUAUGCUAUGCAGGGAAUUUUUUCUGGAAAAUCUGAUGUUUUCAGUUUUGGAGUGUUGAUGCUUGAAAUCAUAAGUGGUAGGAGAAACAACAGGUUUCACAAUGCUCAUCGCGCGCUCAAUUUAGUAGGAUAUGUAUGUCAUGCAAUUCUUAUUGUAUGAAAUUCUUUUUUCUUUCUUUUAGGUGUGAUCAACAUCUGAUAUAUCCUAAAUGAAUUCAAUGUUGUUUCAGGCUUGGGAGUUAUGGCAAGAAGGUGCAGGACUGGAAUUGAUGGACACAACAUUAAGUGAUUCGUGUGUUGAAAAUCAAUUUUUAAGAUGCAUCCAUGUUGGUCUACUAUGUGUUGAAGAAGAUCCAGAACUUCGGCCAACCAUGUCAGAUGCCAUUUCUAUGUUGACAAAUGAAAGCCUGCCUUUACCUAUACCAACGAGACCGGUAUCUUUUCCAGUAAGGCAUUCGGCUGGGGUUGAUAUAAGAGGAACCGAAUCCGAAAUGUUAUCAGAAAAUGGCUUGUCCAUCUCCCUUAUUAUAGGACGAUGAAGGCACUACUGACAUUUUUAGCAUGCCUCAGUUAUACUUUUGUCAGAGUACCGAUAUUUGGUUUAGAAGAUUAACUUUGCCAGACAUCUUUGAUCACUUUAGCUGGCACUUCAUAUGUGCUAUGGCCUGUGGGAGAAGGUGCUCGCCUAAGAAUCUUACCUGGUAGAGUUAGAUCAAAUGUAAAUAGCUAAAUGAUUCUUUGUGAAAACAGUGUCAUAUAUACUAGCACAUAUCUCCUCUGGAUUUUGUUUGUAACUGUCUAAUAGGUAAUCAAGUGGACAGUUACUGUUUAUUUUUUAAAUUUUUUAAUUUUUAAUUUUUAAUUUUUUUACACUUGACAUACUUAAAUUGAUCUUUGUUGUAACAAUGUUUCCUGUCAUUAUCAACAUCUCUGUGCUUUAUGUUUACUAUGUAAACAAAGUGUCAUAUAUACAAGUAGAUUGUAUCUCCUCUGUAGUACACCUGUAACUAUGCAACAAGUAAUUUAAGUAUAUAAAAGAGAGGUCACUAUAGUGUGUGUCCUAAUCAAAUUUUACAAUAAUUUACUCAAGUGUAUAAGAAACGUCACUGUAAUAUGUGUCAUAAUCAAGUUUUAAUGUAGUUUAUAAAGUUAAUGAGAGACGAUUUCUAGAAGUUGAAACCAGAGUUGCCUAUUGUUGAAGUUGAAACCGGAUUUACUUGUUGAAGUUGAAACCGGAUUGUUUUUCAGUGGACUUUUGAAUCUUCAUUACAAGUUUGCCUUGGAGUGGACCCACUCUUCUCAAUGCUUGCAUCAUUUGAGAUUUUUCUACAACUGCUGUCAUUGCAAUUAUUCCAAGGUUGAUAUUUUCGAGUUAGGUCUGUCUAGCUUGUUUAGGUCAUGUUGCCAAUGGGGACCAAAUGACCACCUCACUUUCAUUUUCUGUUUUUGUUUUGGCGGCUAGUAAACCAAUGAGAUCUGAGAUACACCCUUCCCAUUUUUAACCAUGUGUCAAAAUGGCCAGAAACGUAAGCGGUUUUCGUUCUUCCUUUAAUUGUAAAGACACUGCCAAGGACCCAACUCAACGGCGGCAGUUCCUCACUACCACCCACCGCCACCAUUCAAUCCCAAAACUCUAAGUCUUUGGAGAAGAAGAUACAUCAGAGGUUUGGCCUCAAAACCCAAGUUCUCAGUUCUCUGUUUGAUUCAAGUUCAAUUCUUUUUACCAUCUUUCAGCUUUGGGUCAAUUGGGUUAUGUGGGUUUUGAAGAGAAAGGUGGUUGAAAUGUGUUUGGUGCAAGUAGUGAGUGAUUAAGAAAGAAAGCUCAUUUCUUUAGUGCUUAAAAUAGCUGUAAUUGGGAUAAGGCAACACUCCUGUGACUCCUGUCCCUCUCUUCUCAUCUAUCAAAUAGAGAACCUGAAUAAUUAAAGUAAAAGACUUCAUUUUUGUAAUGCUCUAUACCCAGCUGGCUGCAGUUGACCGUUUACUUUUUAGGGAGAGAUUGGUUUUUGAGUGAUAAAUUCCCUUCAAUUAUUCCAGCACAAAAAGGGUCUCUGGAAUAUUUGGCUUUAAUUGCUGUACAGCCCAGUUUUUUUUUUUUGUCAGACAAAGAUUUUAUAAAUUUGGAUUUUGGAGGAGUUGUUCUUUUGUGGUUGUGGUGAUAUAUGGCUCGCGCUGCGGAUUUGAUUUGCUUGAUGUUUGUGUGGAGCUUGUGGAGUGCUGCUUGUAAUGGUGCAACAAACACAUUGAAACCAGGUGAUAGUUUAGUUUCUGAUAGUUCAUUAGUUUCUGCAAGUGGGAAGUUCACUAUGAAUUUUCGUGUUUAUGAUCAUGAGGCAAACUUGAGCUACUUAGUUAUAAAGUAUAAUGCGAGUCAUAACUAUGCUUGGGUUGGGAAUAGAGAAACACCGAUUCUGUACCCUUUUGGAGUUCUUACCUUGGACAGGAACAACACAUUGAAAAUUACUCACAGAGAUGGGGAUGCAGUGGUGCUUUACUCUGCUGAAUCAGGAACUGUCAGUGGUGAUGUUGUGGCUACUCUUACGGAUGAUGGCAAUUUUGUGCUACAAGAGUUGAGCUCUGAUGGAUCGGUGAAGAGGGUUUUGUGGCAGAGUUUCGACUAUCCUGGAGAUGUGCUUCUGCCAGGUAUGAAGUUAGGGGUUAACCGUAGUAAUGGCCAUAAUUGGUCACUCUCGUGCUGGUUAACUGAGAGAAGUGCAGUACCAGGACCUUUCACUCUUGAUUGGGACCCUGAUGGAAAACAAUUGAAAAUUAAGCGGCGUGGGGUGGUGUAUUGGAGUAGUGGAGUGUUUCGAGAUGGGAAUUUUGAAAAUAUUAAGCACAAGAGGUAUAAUUUU